rnacentral:lncRNA from 1 species
UGGGCAAAUAAGGUACUGUGAAACAGCAGCAUUUCUUUUCAGAAUUAUAGUGUAGGAAAAAAAAAAAUUAUUCCUGAGUUUGCUUCCUACAAACAGUCAUCUUCAUGAUGUGGAGGUUAUUCUGUGCUUUUAUCACUUUCUAAACGCAAGGAUCUAUCCUUUUGUUCAGUCAUUUCCACCUACAUUCUGAGUUCAAGGGCUGUGGCACUAAACAGUAAAUGUAUAUUCAUCUGUGAAUUGAAUGUGAAAGACUUUUCAUUUAGUGAUGUGAUUGACUGGCUAACAUAUUUGAGCCCGUAUGGCAUACAACUUUGUUCUAAAAAAUACUGGAAAAACAGGCAGUUGCCAGCACCAUGGAAACUUGCCUUCAUUGAGAUUUGAAUUCCCAAAUAUAGAUGAUCAACGCCUACCAAUUCAAACGCUUAGAUAGGCCUUGUUACCUAGGCAACCGUGUAUUAGAAAUGAGAUAUCUGCAUUCUCUUGCAUUUCUUUGCCAAAUUUUACCUUUUACGUAGCUUUAGAGUAUGGGCUUUAAAGUUGAAUAUAUAAUUUUCUGAAAAGUAGGAUGAUUAUGACAAUUUGAAAUCCAUCAGCUUGAAAGAAAACCUCUAAGGACAGACCAGAUUCUUAUAAAUCUGAAAAUCUCUCCGUUCGAGUUUCCCCUUAAGAUUGUAGGUCGUAUCUAACAGUAUAUACCAGACAUAGUAUAUAAUGUAAUUAGAAACCAAGUCAUUGCGACUCUAGAAGUGGUUGCAUGAAAUAAUCUAGUUCUUCCCGUUAGUAACCGCUAUUUCAUCAAGUAAUAACUGUAAGUUUUUGUAAUUAUAUGGGUAACAUAAGCAUUACUUAGGUGGCAUUUGUGUCUGAACCUUUGUUAAAACUUCUCCUGUCAGGGCUCUUAUAUCAUAUAUUCUGUUUCAUGCACGUUAUCUUUCUGAUCCAGUAAACUAAUGUUGCCCUUGCCAAAAAGAGUCUGCUAACUCUCCUCUUCUCAAUGAAAUGUGAAAGUUGUCUUCAUUUUCCUGGAGGCUAGCCACCUGUGUUUUGAAGGUGUUGCCAUCUAAACUCUAAAAUUAGCUAGGAUGAAGUUUACGGCCCAUGGUGCUUCAUGAGAAAGAUCUGGAAAAGGAGCUUUUUUUGACAUGUUUUCUUUUGACCGUUGGCUAAACAAACUCCUCAAUUAAGCUACACAUUCCUCGAGGGAAAGUCAUGCGAAUUCCUCUGGGGAUUGUGAAUUGUUCAUGGUUGAGUCCACAAUGUCAUGGUUGAAAAUCAUUUAAGGUGUGUUGAAAGAAUCCAUGUCUCAGUUGUCCAAGAACAACUGAGUUCUUCACAUUACUAGUGGUGAGCAGCUUCUGCUCAGCCAUCUACCCAAGUGGAUGAUGAUGGCGGAUUAUAUUAAGUUAAAGGUACACCAGAUGUCUACUAAGAAGUACACUGUUAACAAAAACAUUAGUGUGUUGUAGCCAAGUGGGACCUUAUUUCUGAAUCUGACCAUCACAAAGAAGCCACAGCUGUGUUAGUAAGAAGCUCAAAAGAUGUUACUAUGACAACUUCUUAGUAUUUCUAAUUGAAAUGCCUCUCAAGAAAUUUCUGCCCUUGCCAAGAACUCAAAAUCUUUGUUUCAAGUGUGUAACUGAUUCAUUUUUCUCUUCUGGGAUCAUGCAAGUCAUAUAAGUGAUCAUGUUUCUCAUUUUAUUUUGACCAUCUUGAAGUUCAGGUCAUUUUUCUUUUGAAAGAAGUAGAGGUAUUCCCUGAUCAGAAAAUUUGAAUCUUAACUGUACCCACUGUGUUAAUUCUGUUUCUCAUUUUUUUCUCAACUUCUUAUACCUUCAUCUCUCAUUUCUUUUAUUCACUGAAACUUGCAAACCAUUUUGCCAUAUGCACAUAGCAUAUUGAAUAAUCUGAUAAAUGUUUUCUUUUUUUCUCUGUGUAGCCAAGAUUCCCCACCUGUUCUCAGCCCUAUGAAAUUAACAGCCAAAAGUUAAGUAGGAAAUAUUCUCCAGUCUUUACAAUCACAGGACUCAAACUAAAGUCUUACAGAUUUUUGUCACUAAGCUCCAGCAUCUCCUUUCUCUGCUGCUUUGUGCAGCUGAUUCAAACACCAGGCCCUCAUUUACAUGAGAGAGAGCCUGGACUCAGAUUAGCACAGGGCAUGACAAGAUAAAAAAUAGAUUCAUUAUUUGACCAGCUGAUGAAUCUGCCAGGAUAGCUUGUGAAUUUAAAUCACAAAAUGGUAAAAACGGAAAGGGUUUGAAGUAGUUAUAAAGUCUCUCCUUUUGUCCCUCGGCCAGACCGUGACUAAAUUAUUUCCUAUAGAUGAUUGCCUGUGGAAUUCUUGAAAAUCUCUUGAGAGAGAUCAAGCCUGGCUCAGAAUUCAUUCCUGUAGCUGAUAACUCUUGCAGGUAGAAUGCUCUUCUGCCUGGGAGAUGAACUCUUUGGUGAGAACUUGGUACGCAGGCCACCAACAGCCAAGGAUUAAUUCCUGAUAGAUUAUGGAUUCUGAGGCUCAAGUUUGUGGAGUUCACAUUUUCAUUUUCACACAGUCUCAAAGUGUUCUGGGGGAUCUACUCUGUGGCCAGACCUAUGUUCAUAUAUGCAUUUACUGUUAUUUAGAUUUCAUUCAUCACACUUCAAUGUGAGAAUCACUUACAAACCUUCAAAAAUAUUUCCUUUCAAAAAAAAAUGAAGAAAAACUAUUGCAUUUGGAAUGGAUAAGCAGUGAGCCCAAGAAACUACAUCUGAUCACUUGUGAUGGAACAUGACGGAGGAUAAUGUGAAGCUAUAUCUGAUCACUAGUGAUGGAGCAUGACAGAGGAUAAAAUAUAUAUGAAUGACUUGGUCACUGUGCUGUACAGCAUAAAUUGACAACGUUGUAAAUCAACUAUAAUAAUACUAUUGUUUUUAAUAAAUGAAAUCUAAACAUUAAAAACAAAGCAAGGGCCACUGUAGUAUAACAAAUUACAAAUAUGUAAUUUGGAUUCAAGAGACUUAAUCUUUGAUUAUGGGUUUGGAGGAAAGAAAUCUAAGUUAGGAAAUAUAUCUGGACCAAGGGGUGAGGAAUUGC